rnacentral:rRNA from 1 species
UACGGAGGGUGCGAGCGUUGUCCGGAAUCACUGGGCGUAAAGGGCGCGUAGGUGGCUACUCAAGCGCGCGGUGAAAGCCCGGGGCUCAACCCCGGGUCGGCCGUGCGGACUGGGGGGCUCGAGCACUGUAGGGGCGGGUGGAAUUCCGGGUGUAGCGGUGGAAUGCGUAGAGAUCCGGAAGAACACCGGUGGCGAAGGCGGCCUGCUGGGCUAUGGCUGACACUGAGGCGCGACAGCGUGGGGAGCAAACAGG